GACGAACGCUGGCGGCGUGCCUAGUACAUGCAAGUUGAGCGCUGAAGGUUGGUACUUGUACCAACUGGAUGAGCAGCGAACGGGUGAGUAACGCGUGGGGAAUCUGCCUUUGAGCGGGGGACAACAUUUGGAAACGAAUGCUAAUACCGCAUAAAAACUUUAAACACAAGUUUUAAGUUUGAAAGAUGCAAUUGCAUCACUCAAAGAUGAUCCCGCGUUGUAUUAGCUAGUUGGUGAGGUAAAGGCUCACCAAGGCGAUGAUACAUAGCCGACCUGAGAGGGUGAUCGGCCACAUUGGGACUGAGACACGGCCCAAACUCCUACGGGAGGCAGCAGUAGGGAAUCUUCGGCAAUGGACGAAAGUCUGACCGAGCAACGCCGCGGGAGGGAAGAAGGGUUUCGGAUCGUAAAACUCUGUUGGUAGAGAAGAACGUUGGUGAGAGUGGAAAGCUCAUCAAGUGACGGUAACUACCCAGAAAGGGACGGCUAACUACGUG
rnacentral:rRNA from 1 species